rnacentral:rRNA from 1 species
AGAGUUUGAUCCUGGCUCAGGACGAACGCUGGCGGCGUGCCUAAUACAUGCAAGUCGAGCGGAGUUAUUCCUUCGGGGAUGACUUAGCGGCGGACGGGUGAGUAACACGUAGGCAACCUGCCUGUAAGAUCGGGAUAACUACCGGAAACGGUAGCUAAGACCGGAUAAUCAACUGGAUCGCAUGAUUCGGUUGGGAAAAG